rnacentral:rRNA from 1 species
CGGAAAGAAAGAGUUGCAAUGAAUAAUUGUGAUUUAUGACGGUACCGACAGAAAAAGCACCGGCUAACUACGUGCCAGCAGCCGCGGUAAUACGUAGGGUGCGAGCGUUAAUCGGAAUUACUGGGCGUAAAGGGUGCGCAGGCGGUCUUGCAAGUCAGAUGUGAAAGCCCCGGGCUUAACCUGGGAAUUGCGUUUGAAACUACAAGGCUAGAGUGCAGCAGAGGGGAGUGGAAUUCCAUGUGUAGCAGUGAAAUGCGUAGAGAUGUGGAAGAACACCGAUGGCGAAGGCAGCUCCCUGGGUUGACACUGACGCUCAUGCACGAAAGCGUGGGGAGCAAACAGGAUUAGAUACCCUGGUAGUCCACGCCCUAAACGAUGUCAACUAGUUGUCGGAUCUAAUUAAGGAUUUGGUAACGUAGCUAACGCGUGAAGUUGACCGCCUGGGGAGUACGGUCGCAAGAUUAAAACUCAAAGGAAUUGGACGG